rnacentral:rRNA from 1 species
UACGUAGGGGGCAAGCGUUGUCCGGAAUUAUUGGGCGUAAAGAGCUCGUAGGCGGUCUGUUGCGUCGGCUGUGAAAACCCGGGGCUCAACCCCGGGCCUGCAGCCGAUACGGGCAGACUAGAGUUCGGCAGGGGAGACUGGAAUUCCUGGUGUAGCGGUGAAAUGCGCAGAUAUCAGGAGGAACACCGGUGGCGAAGGCGGGACUCUGGGCCGAUACUGACGCUGAGGAGCGAAAGCGUGGGGAGCGAACAGG